rnacentral:lncRNA from 1 species
UAAAGGUCAGAUUUAAUAAAAAAUGCAUCUGGUGUGUGUACCAGAAAAACACAGGAGUUGGAUGGAUUUUUUAUUAAAUCAGGCCUUAAACUUGUUAAAUAGUUUUGCAUUUUUAUAAAUUAUAGUCAUGGUUAUAACAUUUCAGUAGCACCAUAAAAGUGCUUGGUUUAGGAAUUUUUUUUUUUUAAACUGAGAUAGUGUGUAAAUUUCUAGAUGGCUGUAAUAACAUGCAGGCUCUAAGUUACUGAUUUUAUAUAUCAAUAUUUGCAGCUUUCUAAUUAGUUGUGAUUUAUAAUUUAAUGUUUUACUUUUGGAAAAUAAGUGACAUUUAGAAAAUUAAAUAUUACUAUGAGGCUGUAUUGUGGUUUCCUACCCUCCCUCACCUUUCCAUCCCCUCCCACUUCCCUACUCCCACUGCCCCACACCCUCUUAAUGCACAAGGCAUUAACAUAUGCUCCAGGUUACUUUUUUGGUAUUAAAUUCGGUGUUAGUCAGCAGAAUAAUCAUUUUCUGCACAAUUAUAGUAACUUAGGUCAAGUGUAGUUUUAUAUAGUGGUAGGUCUGAAUCCAUUUUCUUUAACUGUGUUGUUGUUGUAGGAAUUUGCUCGCCCUGAUACAUCGAAUGAUAGAGUUUGUUGUACGUGAAGGGCCAAUGUUUGAAGCUAUGAUUAUGAACAGAGAAAUCAACAAUCCUAUGUUCAGGUUCUUAUUUGAAAACCAGACACCAGCCCAUGUUUACUAUAGGUGGAAGCUUUAUUCUAUUCUGCAGGGAGAUUCUCCAACUAAAUGGCGGACGGAAGAUUUUCGUAUGUUCAAAAAUGGAUCUUUUUGGAGGCCACCACCAUUAAAUCCGUACUUGCAUGGAAUGUCAGAAGAGCAAGAAACAGAAGCUUUUGUAGAGGAACCUAGUAAAAAGGGAGCACUUAAGGAAGAAGGGAUAAAUUGGAAGAAAUCUUGCGGGGAUUAACUCCAAGGAAAAAUGAUAUUGGAGAUGCAAUGGUUUUCUGUCUUAAUAAUGCUGAAGCUGCUGAAGAAAUAGUGGAUUGCAUUACUGAGUCGUUGUCCAUCUUAAAGACACCCCUUCCUAAAAAGAUUGCCAGAUUAUAUUUGGUUUCUGAUGUUUUGUACAACUCUUCAGCCAAAGUUGCUAAUGCUUCAUAUUAUAGAAAAUUUUUUGAAACAAAGUUAUGUCAGAUAUUUUCAGACCUCAAUGCCACCUAUCGUACAAUUCAAGGCCAUUUACAAUCUGAAAACUUUAAGCAACGGGUAAUGACUUGCUUCAGAGCAUGGGAAGAUUGGGCAAUUUAUCCAGAACCAUUUUUGAUCAAACUACAAAAUAUUUUCUUAGGACUUGUA